rnacentral:rRNA from 1 species
GGCUCAGAACGAACGCUGGCGGCGUGCCUAACACAUGCAAGUCGAACGAGAAGUACGUAGCAAUACGUAUUGUAAAGUGGCGCACGGGUGAGUAACACGUGGGUAAUCUGCCCUCGAGUUUGGGAUAACCCCGCGAAAGCGGGGCUAAUACCGAAUAAGACCACGGGGACCAAAGUCCCUGAGGUAAAAGACGGCCUCUAUUUAUAAGCUGUCACUUGAGGAUGAGCCCGCGGCCCAUUAGCUAGUUGGUAGGGUAACGGCCUACCAAGGCGAUGAUGGGUAGCUGGUCUGAGAGGACGAUCAGCCACACUGGAACUGAGACACGGUCCAGACUCCUACGGGAGGCAGCAGUGGGGAAUAUUGCGCAAUGGGCGAAAGCCUGACGUAGCAACGCCGCGUGGGGGAUGAAGGUUCUCGGAUUGUAAACCCCUUUCGAUCGGAACGAAUCCCCUCUUGGUAAAUAAUCAGGAGGGUCGACGGUACCGGGAGAAGAAGCCACGGCUAACUCUGUGCCAGCAGCCGCGGUAAGACAGAGGUGGCGAGCGUUGUUCGGAUUUAUUGGGCGUAAAGCGAACGCAGGUGGUUUGGUAAGUCAGAGGUGAAAGACCACAGCUUAACUGUGGCACUGCCUUUGAUACUGCCUUUCUAGAGUGCAUGAGGGGGAAGCGGAAUUCCGAGUGUAGAGGUGAAAUUCGUAGAUAUUCGGAGGAACACCGGUGGCGAAGGCGGCUUCCUGGCAUGUAACUGACACUCAUGUUCGAAAGCGUGGGUAGCAAACAGGAUUAGAUACCCUGGUAGUCCACGCCCUAAACGAUGGGCACUAGGUGUGGGAGGUAUCGACCCCUUCCGUGCCGCAGCUAACGCAUUAAGUGCCCCGCCUGGG